AUUUCGACCCGAAAGGAAAGAAAGAAUGAAGCGGGUCUCUUCGGUCUAAGCCUCUCAGCUCGGGGAUUUCCCGGCGCCGCCAAUCCGUGAAGAGCUCGCUCUGGCGGUCACGGUCGUGCCAUUGCCUCGCAGGAUUCUGCCGCGACCGGUGAACCAUGACUGAAGUCGGGGUUCGGUGCGCGCAGUCUUGUACAGAAUGGCUGGCUGAUCGGGUGGGGCCGAGAAAAUAUGAAAGACACAUUUAGCUGCUCUCCCAAUAUAAAUCCUCUGACACUCCUAGUGACCAGCUUGCAUUUUCCUUAACCAUCAGAUGGAGGGAAAAUUUGCUUGUCCUGCAAUAGCUCAUUUGUAACGUUUGAUCAGAGGAAAACCGAAUGCCGGUAUAUUGAUCUUGCAUGUGCAUCAUGCCUCACAGUAGCCCGCUGUCCUCCUUUAAGUUCAGGAGGACGUUCAGGUUUUCUCGGCCACAACCGUGAGCAUGUCUUCUUUCCCCCUCUGAAGAUGCUAACAUCUCUGUUUGAGUGCUCGGGGAUUCAGCAAUACAAGAAAGCAACCCCAGACAGUGCUUCUGGAAGCACGACAACUGAAGCAGGGUGAGGGAGUGAGUUAGAGCAGUUGUUGGUCUUGUCUUCCUAUGUUUGUUAACUCUCUUUGAAUUGUUUGUUAAAAUCCACCCUCAACUUGUGUCUCAA